UGUAGUGCAGUAAGCGCAUGUGAUGUGAUUCGGUCGCCAAUGGAGUAAAUGGAGUAAAAGGCCAGCAACACUCCGGUUAUUGACACUUUUCUACUAUUACAAAGGGGACUUUUAUUUGGAACAUUUUAGAAAUCCCGUGACCCGGAAUAAACUUUUUUAGUGUUGCUGACGAGAUGCUGAUCAUGUGAUGCCCACUUGUGCUGCCACUGGAGAGCGAAAGACAAAUUGGAACCAACAUACCAGCAGGAAGAUAGGAAAGAAACACUUGUCCGACAACUCAGGGACAAGCGACACUAUUCUCAGCCCUGUGUAAUUUUCAAUGUAAUUGCAUUGCUCGACCUUUUGAAACUUAAUGUAUUUGUAUUGUUUUGAAAUGUACAAAUAAAAGGAAAUGUAUGGUUUA